AACGCGAAGAACCUUACCCAGGUUUGACAUCCUGCGAAUUUCUUCGAAAGAAGAAAGUGCUUUUAGAGCGCAGUGACAGGUGGUGCAUGGCCGUCGUCAGCUCGUGUCGUGAGAUGUUUGGUUAAGUCCAUCAACGAGCGCAACCCUUAUGUUUAGUUGAAUUUUUCUAGACAGACUGCCCUGGUAACAGGGAGGAAGGAGGGGAUGAUGUCAGGUCCGUAUCUCCCUUACACCUGGGGCUACAGACACGCUACAAUGGCCGGUACAAAGGGCAGCCAAGUCGCGAGACGGAGCGUAAUCCCAUCAAAACCGGUCCCAGUUCGGAUAGCAGGCUGAAACUCGCCUGCUUGAAGUCGGAAUCGCUAGUAACGGUAAGUCAGCACAUUACCGUGAAUACGUUCCCGGGCCUUGUACACACCGGAGUA
rnacentral:rRNA from 1 species